rnacentral:rRNA from 1 species
AUUGAACGCUGGCGGCAGGCCUAACACAUGCAAGUCGAGCGGAUGAAGGGAGCCUGCUCCUGGAUUCAGCGGCGGACGGGUGAGUAAUGUCUAGGAAUCUGCCUGGUAGUGGGGGAUAACGUCCGGAAACGGGCGCUAAUACCGCAUACGUCCUGAGGGAGAAAGUGGGGGAUCUUCGGACCUCACGCUAUCAGAUGAGCCUAGGUCGGAUUAGCUAGUUGGUGGGGUAAAGGCCUACCAAGGCGACGAUCCGUAACUGGUCUGAGAGGAUGAUCAGUCACACUGGAACUGAGACACGGUCCAGACUCCUACGGGAGGCAGCAGUGGGGAAUAUUGGACAAUGGGCGAAAGCCUGAUCCAGCCAUGCCGCGUGUGUGAAGAAGGUCUUCGGAUUGUAAAGCACUUUAAGUUGGGAGGAAGGGCAGUAAGUUAAUACCUUGCUGUUUUGACGUUACCAACAGAAUAAGCACCGGCUAACUUCGUG